UUACCUUUAGUGGGUUGUUCAUCUUUUGCUAUGUUGCAAUACCAUAAUUAAUAGUUGAAAUUGCAACAGUUUUAAUGAAUAAUUUAGAGGAGUGAUGGAUAGUUUUGUGGAGGAUAGUUUUGUUGCUUUGCUUUUUCGAUUAUGCUAGUUUGCGCAUAUUGAACUGCUUUGAUGAUUGACAUGCAGCUUUGGUUAAUUGUUGAACUCUCUAUGUUCUCUUUUGUCGGAGGAAAAGAGAAUUCACAUACGCAGAGUAAAGGUUUGCAUGUCAUUAUCAUGGACCAAUGCUCUGGUAAGAAGACUGGUGACACUAUGGCUGUCUCUAGGAAGGGUUCUAGCCUUAUUUUGAGAGAUACUGCUAACAAAAGUUUUAAAUGAUAAUUGUUGGAAUGAAAGAAGAUGGACGUCUACCUAUAUCAAAAGUUAGGCUUAAUUCAGUUUCUUUUUUUAGCAAAUAUUUUACAUGAUUGCAUACGAUCGGUUAUUUUAGUAUUAUUGAAGACUUAUUCAUUUAUAA